rfam:Arenitalea lutea strain CGMCC 1.12213 genome assembly, contig: Ga0079849_113
UAAGGUGGUUAUAGCGAUGGGGCUCACCUCUUACCAUUCCGAACAGAGAAGUUAAGCCCAUUAGCGCCGAUGGUACUACAUUUGUGGGAGAGUAGGUCGUUGCCUUUU